ACACACGAAUUCGAAAAACAAAGUGAAACUACAUCCACGCCCAGUGGGAGAUGAGGCUUCUGGAAUCCAUUUUGUCCGUAGAGUGGAUAGAAGCCCCUGAAUCGUAUUUCUGGAGGCAGCCCUACCCAGCCACUGCCAGGAAAUUACCAAGCAUGUCCUGAAGAUGAAGAUACUCUCAGCCUAACGUCUCCAAGCAAAUAUUGAUUCAGCAGUAUCCCCAGGCAAAGCCACACCAUAUAUCAGUGAACAGAGAAACAACUGCCCUUCUCCGGGCCCCUGUCUGAGAAGCUGGAGCAUCAGCCCUGGAGCUCUCCGGAGCAGUUUCCUUGCUCACUGUCCCCAGCUGAACACAGCCGCAUGCAGAGGUCCAAAGCACGUAAACAGGAUACCCACCCUGCAUUAUCUUAUAUUUUAAGUCAAUAUGAAGAUGGACAUUCUACCCCUGAGACCAAUUUCGAUCAAAUACUUUUGUCAAUAAAAAGAUACUAA
rnacentral:lncRNA from 1 species